UUACUAGAGUAGCACUCGCAUAUCAAUAAGCGGAGGAAAAGAAACUAACAAGGAUUCCCCUAGUAACGGCGAGUGAAGCGGGAAGAGCUCAAAUUUGAAAUCUUAAAGGGUUUCCCUUUACGAAUUGUAGUUUAAAGAAGUGUUUUCUGUUGAGGUUUUGGUAAAAGUUCUUUGGAAUAGGACAUCAUAGAGGGUGAGAAUCCCGUAUUUGACCUUUACUUUCAACUUUGUGAUACACUUUCAAAGAGUCGGAUUGUUUGGGGAUGCAGUCCAAAAUGGGUGGUAAAUUUCAUCUAAAGCUAAAUAUUGGCGAGAGACCGAUAGCGAACAAGUACCGUGAGGGAAAGAUGAAAAGAACUUUGAAAAGAGAGUUAAACAGUACGUGAAAUUGUCAAAAGGGAAGCGUUUGACACCAGUGUUGUUUUUCUGAAAAUCAAUUAAAGAACUGUUUAUGCUAAGUUGUUUAGACUUUAUCAGCUAACUGUUUAGUUUUGAGCUUUUCUUUAAUGCACUUUUCAGUUAACAAGUCAACAUCGAUUUCUUUUGCUGUGAAAAAAGCUUGAGGAAGGUGGCUUGAGAUUCGUCUUAAGUGUUUAUAGCCUCUUGCCUAUGCAGUCGGAGAGAUUGAGGUCUGCAGCGUAGAUCCUUCGGGGCUAAAUGCAUUUGUGCUAAGUUAUAGCAUUUUAUAGACAACUUGUUGACUAUGAUUUGUCUUGUAGCUUACUCGCUUAUGUUAUUUUACCUACGCUUAGGAUGUUGAGUAGCGACAUACGCAC
rnacentral:rRNA from 1 species